GACUAUACAAACCCAAAAUCAAGUCUUCAUGUUCAUGCCCUAGCUACAUCUGGUGUCCACCCUCGCCUCUCCAUCGACUCAUCGAGCAUGGAAAAUCUAAUUGCUGACCAGAAGUACCCAUCGACCAUCUGUAUCCUAAAGCACUCCUCGGUUGUGGUGAAUGGUAAGCUACAACUUCGUCUCAGUUUAACCUGGGAUCGACUCGGUUUGCGGGUUAGAUGGAAACUUUAAUCGAUUGGUAGUUCGGGUUGGGUGGCAAAACUUGUUUGGGGCAUGCUCGAGAACCGAAUAAGAUUUCAAUAUAUAUUUUUAAUUAAUAAAUAUUUGUAUUAUAUAUAAGAUACAUAUUAAUAUAUGGUGUAUUAUUAUUGUAUGAGUAGUACCCCUUGCACCCAAAAUUAUACACUAUAAUAUGUAUGAAUAAUCAUGUAGCUGUCGACAUGAUAAAUAUUUUGUUAAUGCAAACAUGCAUCUAAAGUAA